AUUGAACGCUGGCGGCAGGCUUAACACAUGCAAGUCGAGCGAGCGGCGGACGGGUGAGUAAUGUCUGGGAAACUGCCCGAUGGAGGGGGAUAACUACUGGAAACGGUAGCUAAUACCGCAUACUAUCAGAUGUGCCCAGAUGGGAUUAGCUAGUAGGUGGGGUAAAGGCUCACCUAGGCGACGAUCCCUAGCUGGUCUGAGAGGAUGACCAGCCACACUGGGACUGAGACACGGCCCAGACUCCUACGGGAGGCAGCAGUGGGGAAUCUUGCGCAAUGGGCGAAAGCCUGACGCAGCCAUGCCGCGUGUGUGAUGAAGGCCUUCGGGUCGUAAAGUUCUGUUAGUGGGGAAGCGGUACCUGAUGAAAAAGCACCGGCUAACUACGUGCCAGCAGCCGCGGUAAUAC
rnacentral:rRNA from 1 species